rnacentral:rRNA from 1 species
AGCGUAGGUGGCCUAACAUGUCAACUGUGAAAACCCGGAGCUCAACUCCGGACUUGCAGUUGAAACUGGUAGGCUUGAGGACGGUAGAGGAAGACGGAACUGCCAGUGUAGGGGUAAAAUCCUUAGAUAUUGGCAGGAACGCCGGUGACGAAGGUGGUUUUCUGGGCCGGUUCUAACACUGAUGCUCGAAAGCCAGGGGAGCGAACG